GACGCAGUGGUUUAAUGGUAAAAUUGGGCAUUGCCACUUACAAGCUUGCCUAGCUCCGGGUUCGAUUCCCGGCUGCGUCA